UAGAGUUUGAUCCUGGCUCAGAGCGAACGCUGGCGGCAGGCCUAACACAUGCAAGUCGAACGAACUCUUCGGAGUUAGUGGCGGACGGGCGAGUAACACGUGGGAACGUGCCUUUAGGUUCGGAAUAACUCAGGGAAACUUGUGCUAAUACCGAAUGUGCCCUUCGGGGGAAAGAUUUAUCGCCUUUAGAGCGGCCCGCGUCUGAUUAGCUAGUUGGUGAGGUAAAGGCUCACCAAGGCGACGAUCAGUAGCUGGUCUGAGAGGAUGAUCAGCCACAUUGGGACUGAGACACGGCCCAAACUCCUACGGGAGGCAGCAGUGGGGAAUCUUGCGCAAUGGGCGAAAGCCUGACGCAGCCAUGCCGCGUGAAUGAUGAAGGUCUUAGGAUUGUAAAAUUCUUUCACCGGGGACGAUAAUGACGGUACCCGGAGAAGAAGCCCCGGCUAACUUCGUGCCAGCCGCCGCGGUAAUACA
rnacentral:rRNA from 1 species